UACGUAGGGUGCAAGCGUUGUCCGGAAUUAUUGGGCGUAAAGAGCUCGUAGGCGGUUUGUCGCGUCUGCUGUGAAAUCUGGAGGCUCAACCUCCAGCCUGCAGUGGGUACGGGCAGACUAGAGUGCGGUAGGGGAGAUUGGAAUUCCUGGUGUAGCGGUGGAAUGCGCAGAUAUCAGGAGGAACACCGAUGGCGAAGGCAGAUCUCUGGGCCGUAACUGACGCUGAGGUGCGAAAGCGUGGGGAGCAAACAGG
rnacentral:rRNA from 1 species